AUCCUGCUGAGCUCACAACACUGAUUGUUUUAUGAGAUUUAAGGAUUCUUUGGAUGACAGAAUAUGACCCAAUGAGACUUGGAGAGAUGAAAGGCAGAUUUUCUUCUUCCAUACAACUACUACUGAGACAGGUGUGGCUCUUGUGUCAGGAUAAACCACGAUGCUGGUUACUUCAAUCAAGGCACUGACAUUCAUCUUGCCAGUGAUUUCCUUGGAACUGGGAAAAUGAGGCUGCGAGAUGGGAGGAAGAAGACAAUAUCUAAAAUCGGGAUGGGGACAAAAUAAGUGGCAUGCAUGGUGGCAGUGCGUAGAAUGGAAAUCUAAGGGGAAGUGGGCACAUUGGAAGAAAGAAGGAUUCUUACAGCAGUGUACACAGGUGGAAACCCCAUCUAGCCUGCCAGGCUGCUGUAUAAUGGAGCAGAGAAGUGAACGCAAUUGUGACCUCAAAAUCUAUGAGAUUAUUCAGUAGACUUGUUAAGUUGACACAAGGGCUGGUUAAAUUUAAUGCUACGAAGCUG